UCAUUCCGCCGGGAGAGAAGCGAGCACCAUGCGAGUGCUGGCCUCUAGGAUGAAACUUGGCCUGCGAAAAAGGCGCGAAGGCGAGCGUUUCGCGCGUUUAUUGUGAGUGCGGAGGCGCCAUUUUCAGUUGUCACUACGGCUGCGCAAGGUGGUCAAGACUGUUGUUUCUUUCUCCUGAGCUCCUGGCCGGGUUGGCCCCGCAGUAAAGAUUCUGAGUGACAAAAGGGUGUGAAAUAGAAGGCAUCAAGGCAUCAGUGGGCAUUUUGUCUUCACUGAGUACUUCAAUGAGUGAAGGGCAGCCAGUCCACUGCAGUCUUUCUUUCUCGCAAGUCAUGGCUGCAUGCUUCUGAACGGCCUUUUUUGUGUGUAUCGAUCUUAAUAGAUUUGCUGUUGACAUGUCUCCUUUCUUGUAGUCCUCUCACUAUAUUUCUAUUAUUUUGUAAUCGAUUCCAUUGCAGUAUUUUUGUCAGUCUUAUGCGGCUACUUCCGUUGCAGUUUGUGUUACCACUAAAGAAAGCUGAACUAGCUGGUAAAUGUUCACACUUUUGCAUACAGCACAACAUGCAUAAAUGCACAGUACCACUUGUGUGUACUUCCUGUUGUCCAUUGUCAUGUUACGUGGUAUUGUAGGAACCAUGCUAAAGUGUAAGCUUACUACUAUCUCAAUUCAAGUGAUGGCUAAGUUCUAGUGUGUUGCAAGGUGAGGCUACGAAACAGUUUGAUUACAUUUUAUUAUGCCUCUUUUGUGUUACGAUGUGGCCGUGAGUCGGAAAGGCUGCACUAUAUUGAGCAGUACUGCAUGAGGACUCCAGUUUCAGUAUAUAUCAACCGUUCCGUUCAUUGCUAUUUACUUCUUUUCCUCAGGAAGAGGUGGCAGGGCUACUAGCAUGUAGCAAGUCAAUGCUACACAUAUUUCACAUUUAACCAUUCUGUGUCACUUCCAGAUUUAUGUUUAUUUGUUACAAACAAUAAUUUCCUUGAUAGUUAUUUCACUGUGAAGUAUUUAUCAUUUAUGCUGGUCUUUGCUGGCGGCAAAAAGUCUGCUCUCUUCUAGUCGUUUUACUUUUAUGCGUAGGGUUGUAUUUGUUUUCUUGCUGUCAGCCCAGAGUUUUUAUCUAGUACAUAGCGAGAAUCGCUGUUUCAGUUCUUAUUUGCAUUUUGUUUUACUGUGACUUACUUUUUCGAGAAGAAACAGUAUUUUAUUUGUAGUGCAUUGCAAGUUUGUCACAUUUCAGCUACUGUUUGCAUAGUUUUGUUCAUAUGCAUGUGUAAACCAAGGAGGGAUCAUUUGCCGUUUCCAAGGUAUUGCUAGAAUAUGAAAAAAAAAGGCGCAGUCCAUAUAAUUUAUGUCUCAGCUGUGUGAUAUUUUAGGUGUGAGGAUUGCUAGUACCUUUAUGUUCCUUGUAUACUCAUUACUGAAUGUAGUGAAACGCGAUAGCGUACUGAUCGCCAACUUUUUUUUCGGGGAUAGGAGCCUCACCUCAAGACUCAUUCACGCUAAUGAAACAGUGAAUGCCUGCGCUCUGUUGCUGUCUCGUAUACCAUGUGGCAUUCUGAGCUUUUUUCUCAUGCUCCCUGAUGUCAAGGUGAAGAAUAAUCGUACUAUAGUGAAAGAAGUGUACCAUGCUUUUGAAGUACCCUGAGUGCUACACCUGGCCCUGCCCACCUCAAUUGAUGUUUCUAAAGAUAUACUACCGAUAGUGGUGCUUAGUAAACACUCUUAUAUUAUGUGAUCACAUCUCACUCUUGUAGCCCUUGGGGGCUGGAAAUUUUAAUGUACUGCUGUAAAAGCUGUCACCUGCAGACUUUGUCUUAGUUUGUGCUAAUAAGUUGUUGGCUUUUAUUAUAAUGCAGGACUGUCACAAAUUCUUUCUCUGAAUGUUACAGGUUUGCAGUAUAUCAAUUGUCUCGUGACCAGUUCUGUGUUUGAGUACUUGUAACACUUGCAUCACUAUACCGGCUCUCCAUGUAUUAAAUCGAGUUUUUGUAAUGGAAAUGAAUAAAAAUUUCUGUGAAAGUGA